UACGUAGGUGGCAAGCGUUGUCCGGAUUUACUGGGCGUAAAGGGCGUGCAGGCGGUCUGUUAAGUCUAGGGUGAAAGCUCCCGGCUCAACUGGGAGAGGUCCUUGGAUACUGGCAGACUUGAGGAGAGUAGAGGAGAGUGGAAUCCCCGGUGUAGUGGUGAUAUGCGUAGAUAUCGGGAGGAACACCAGUGGCGAAGGCGGCUCUCUGGGCUCUACCUGACGCUGAGACGCGAAAGCGUGGGGAGCAAACAGG
rnacentral:rRNA from 1 species